ACAUUUAUAUGAGUUUUAAGACUUGUAAUAGCUCUAGUGAGAACACAUUUCAUUCCUGAACAGCUCUUCUUGGUUUUAGUUGCAAUCUUAAUUAAUUACAAAGUCAAAUGCACUAACAACAACGAUCAAUUUGAAUCACUUCCCACAAAGAUAUACACUACACCAAGGGGUCCUGUAAGCAGGACCGGGCACGCGCAAACAUGAAUUCAAAUAUGCGUGCUACAUGGGGCUAUUGAAAAUAAAACAGAAAAAUAAUACAACGUGUUUGAUAAGAUAAUCAGUAAUAACUAAUGACCAUUAGUUAUUUUGUGCACGCCAUCUUUAUUGUGUUUUGUAAUUCCAAUCAUGCCCAUUAAGUGUUAUGAUCCAAUGUGUGGAACAGUUAUGACGACGAACCACAGCAGUCUGAUGUUACGAUCCAUGUGUGGCCAAACUAAGAGAGAAACCCUGGACUUGAUACCGCCUGGCUGAGAGCAAUUCCUAGAGAAACAGGUGUGAAGAAGAUAGAUUAGGCAUCAUCCAAAAGUACAAAGCUGUAUUCCCUGCAUUUCAACAACUCUGAUUUCAUCUGUGAGUCUAAAAGAAGUCAGCCCCUUAGCAAGGCUAGGUAAAAGAGGCUCCUCAAGCCAGAUGUAGAUGGCCAAACUGUCCCAAAUACCUCUCAACUCCUAUAGCGGCAUCAAGGCCAACUGAAGCUGUGACGAUUUUCAGAAAUUAAAGCUCUGCUGGAUAAAGACCUGGUAAAAGAUGAGUUCAUUUUGACUAACUGGCAACCAGAUGACCUCCAGGAACUAUCUUCCAAGGGAGAGAGUAAUGCUCUCUACUUUGUUGCCGGGCCUAUUGUUUUUGUAGAACAAGAAGAUCAGCUGUAUAUCAUGCCAAGAGUUAAUGUUAAUCUGAGACACACCUCCAGACUCAAUAACUUUCAAUAGGCCAAUCAAUCACAAUUCCACGUUUAAUAUGUAUUCUCUCAAUUUUAUCCAUCUUCGUUAUUUGUCGUUUUCAAGAUAUUAUGGACUUGAUUAACGUAAUCACUUAAUUGGUUUUGGCGACUGCGCCACGGCUGAUAAUUAUAAUUACAAAUACGUAGCACUAAAUAAUCCUUAAUGAUUAUAAAAUAAAUCACGACUUGUUACUUUGAUAGUAUAUAUAAGAAUAAAUCUAUAUUCAUUUA
rnacentral:lncRNA from 1 species